rnacentral:lncRNA from 1 species
AUUGAAAUAAGAAAUUAAAAUUGAAUAUAAGUAAUAACUUUUGUAUUGAAAAUCAACACCUUGUGCAUAAAAUGAAAAGAAAGUCAAAACGUUUUUAACUCAAUUCUGAAAUAUUUAAUUACCACUCUUGAUGUCCACAAAGAAAAGUUUCUUUGGUAUCUAUAGCCAAAGAAAUCAAUGAUAAGUUACAACACAAUAACUACAAUUGUAACUCCCACAAUAAUUAGGGU